UAAGUGCUGGACCAUAGAUCCGGUGUCUGAGCUCUGGGAAUCGGAGUCUACACUCCUCUCCUAGCCACAGAACAGUGACUAAAGCAGGCCUGGCCGAGGAGAUGAAAAUCUCAAGUUUGAAGUCAAGAUCACUACCCUUGAAGGAUUUAAGGAGACGACAGACCGUGGAGACAACACUGUGGCCAACACAGGCAAUAAUCCUGAACCACCAGGUUCAACAAUAAGACCAGAAGUGGAAGCAUUCGUUAAAGAAGAACGAGAGAGGGAGAGGCUACAGGUCCGAUCUGGCCCAGGUGUGCAGGACGGAGAUGUUGUCCUCACAGAGGAUGGAUCCCGCCAUCCUCCGCCCUGAGUUUUCGGAUCAGUCCUUCCUUUGACUCUAAGAUCUUGUGGGCAGGUGCCAAGUCCACGACUGAUGGAGGAAGAAAAGGGGAAGGGAGAGGACGGGUGUCCUUUCUGACAUCUAGCAGCCAGUUCCCUUGCUGGCGAAGAGGCUUUUGGAGGCUACUGGAGGUUCCAGAGAUGGGCAUCUCUUGUCCUUCUGCCAAGUCUCCUUCAGUCUAUCCAGAGACCAGAAGGUACCCAGCUGGAAGAAACCGGAGUGGGAGCGAGGAAGGGGAAGUUCUCGGUUGGCUGCAUCUCUGUCGGACUAUGAAUCUCAGGGCGUACGGGGGAGCUCAAGGGAGAGCAGCUGGCCACCCAGGUGUGUGACGAUGUCAGCUGACCCACAGCCCAGAGUACAAACCUCCCUGUAGGGCCGCAUCUCUCCAUCUGGACGGCCUGCCCAUCAAGACCAUGCAUCAUCUUCACUUCCUUCUCUUCCCACAACAAUCAUCUUGUUUAAGACACUGGUUCUCAAGACUGCUCUCACCACAGGCGACGCCACAUCACCUGGAAACUUGCUGGAAAUGCAAAGUCUCAGGCUCUAUCUCGGACCCGCUGAAUAGGAAACUCUGGGGGGCGGGAACAAGCAAUCUAGGUUUCAACAAGCCUUCCAGCUGACUGCCAUACACAAGGCUGAGAAUCACUGCCUAGGAUCUCCGCAGCCCCAAGGUGGCCCCAUCUCAGGGGGUGCUAGGGACGUGCUACUAUAAUCCCUUCCAAGAAUCCUAAAUUUUCCUGACUAUUUCCAUUUGAAAGAUGUAAACACUGAGGUCCUGGUACGUUAGGAAAUUUGAUUCGAACCUGGAUCUUGUUUAUUUUAAGACACAAGGGAUGGACCACUCUGCCUUAGGGUCUCCUCCUUGCAGAGAAGGCUAGGAGGUCCUUGGGAGAGCACUUCUCCAAAGGCUGUUGUGAUUUAUUUACUUAAUAAACAUGCAUCGACCACUUCUCCUGUGCCAGACCGUAUUCCAGAAUAUUCCAUAUAUUAGGGAACUCCAUUCCAGCCUAAACCUUGCAAGUAGGCAUCUCGUCUCAGCACUUACAGAGCCGGAAACACGGACUUAGGGAAACCAUGAGACUUGUUUCAGAGCUCCUAUACCACCUCACGGAGGAUUCACUCCUGGCUCUAGGAAGCAGGGGGUGGCUUUUUAAAGGAGGUAGAAGCUACA